AUGGCCCUUACCAGCCUCACCUGGGUCCCCGCACCCAGCCCAGGAGCUCUAUUUAAGCUCAGCUCAGGACCUCCCUUUUUUUCUGAGCUGUGCAGGAGGGGUGCUGGCCUCCAGCUCAGUCUGGCCUUGGGGGUCCCAAUGUGCCCAUUGCCUUCCUGGCAUGGUGUUAGCCCUGCCCUGUCACUCAGGACCUGCAGACGGACUUUCUGGCUCACCAUGGGACCUGUCACAUCGUGGUGCUGCUGCCUCACGCAGCUCUUGGUUGGCCCUGGCUGCUGCCUCUGGGUUUGGGCACGCAUCCACCUGUCUGGCCGGGGAUGGAGACGAAGGCUAGCGAUGCAUUCUGUGGAGCAAGCUUUGUGGCCGCCCUUGGAGCAGCACCAGGCACUUGCCAUCACCCGGGUGUUCAGCACCUCCUGGGCAAGGCCAGGGAGCUGCCAGCCCCGAGGGGUGCUCGGUGGCCCCCCAGGCCCCCAGUGCAGCUGAGCACAUCCCUCUGCUCUCAGCUUUGGGGCUGCUUCCACUCCUCCAAGUGUGGUGUGGGAAUGAAGAAGUCCCUUUGGAGAAGCAGGGGGCUUUCUUUGUGUUUCCCACUAACUGUGCAAGGUCCCGAGGCUUCCCAGCUGGAAAUGAGCGGCUCCAGCACAGGGACUGGGGUGCGCUCAGCACAGGGCAGAGGUUGGCCCCACAGGGAAGCUGCAGAAGUUAAAUGAGAAAUACUGAUGUGAGUUAGGGCUUUGCCUCAAGCAUUUUUGCGAUGGGUGUUUGGGCUGAGAGUUUCCACUCCUGCAAAAGUGUCAUGUUUAUACAUGACAUCAGCACUUAUAAUCCCUUACUGAUAGAAUUUAAACACUUUUCCCUUGCUUGGCCACUUAUAAUGGGCUGCAGUGUGACACUCUUCAGUGUCUUUUUUUUAAAGAACAACAACAAAAGCCAACAAAGGUGUGAAAACAAGUCUCUUCUGGAAAAAUCUAAGCCUGGCACAAGUACAUUUCCAGUAUUUUUGGAAAGCUGCCUGUGGGGGAAGCAGGUGUCAGCAACCAGCUCCCAGCUGGUCUUCACCUGCGGAAACAAGAAAAAAGGAGCUGGAUUAAAUAUAGCCCCUGGGAAAUAAGUGCUGGAGUAUCCACCAAGAUCACACUUCCCUCUCUAAUUUACUGCCUGGGGUUUUCCUAAAGCUACAGAGGAGAGUCGAGGGCAGACCAGCACCGUGGGCAGGCCAUGCAGAGCCUGUUCCUUCCCCCAGGGAUGGUCACGGUGUGUGCCCAGAGCCCCCCAAGCUGAAGGUGAGCCCCUGUCCCUCUUCCCUCCCUCUGAACUCGGGGCAGUGAUGUGAACCAAGCAAGCAAAACCACACUGGGGCCCUUCAUCACCCUGUUUUUUGCCCUGACUUGUUUCGCUUUCUGUUCCGAAUGGGGAGUGUCUGGUGCUGCGGGGCUGGGUCCCCUCCCUGCUUCGGAAGCGCCGUUCCCCAAAGCUGAGCCGA
rnacentral:lncRNA from 1 species